CCCAAUCCUGCCACUUGGAACUUGUGUGAAUGACAGCCGAACCUAAUUUCCACAAGAUCAGGAAGCUGCCUGUCCUCUUUAUUGUUAAAUCUUCAGCAUUAGCACUCAACUGGUCAGUUAUGCGGAAUUCUGGACCGAACUUCAACCAGCUUGUCCUCCAUUACCGAAUGAGUAUAGCUAUUGCUCAUGCUGCUUACGACAGAUAUAGGAACAUAAAGGCCAUCUGAAGGAAGAGAGGUGGUCAAGCUGGGCUCCAGUAACCAUGGGGUUGUAGACGCUUCAAUAAUAAUAAUAAAACGCUAUAACAAAUAAAAA
rnacentral:lncRNA from 13 species